GACGAACGCUGGCGGCGUGCUUAACACAUGCAAGUCGAGCGGUAAGGCCCUUUCGGGGGUACACGAGCGGCGAACGGGUGAGUAACACGUGGGUGACCUGCCCUCAGCUCUGGGAUAAGCCUGGGAAACCGGGUCUAAUACUGGAUAUGACUCCAUGACGCAUGUUGUGGGGUGGAAAGCCUUGUGCGGCUGAGGAUGGGCCCGCGGCCUAUCAGCUUGUUGGUGGGGUGANGGCCUACCAAGGCGACGACGGGUAGCCGGCCUGAGAGGGUGUUCGGCCACACUGGGACUGAGACACGGCCCAGACUCCUACGGGAGGCAGCAGUGGGGAAUAUUGCGCAAUGGGCGUAAGCCUGACGCAGCGACGCCGCGUGGGGAUGAAGGCCUGG
rnacentral:rRNA from 1 species